GGUUAAGCUACUAAGGGCACACGGUGGAUGCCUUGGCACGAGAAGACGAUGAAGGACGCGGCUACCUGCGAUAAGCCACGGUGAGGUGGAAGCAACCUAGGACCCGUGGAUCUCCGAAUGGGGAAACCCUGCUACCUUAAUAGGUAGCAACUGCCAGCU
rnacentral:rRNA from 1 species